UUGCUGUGUUUGAAGAAUCUCUAUCUUAACAGAAGCUUCAGAAGGAUUCAAUUAUUUGAUGGUUUGAUUGGUGCAAAGUCCAGGUGGAUUUCAGUGAAGAAUGUGAAACUCUGUCAAGAGCAGGAAAACAUUGACCAUUUGACAAGCAGAGAAGACAGACAGAUGUGGACUGUGCAGAGAUUCCAACCCUUGUGCUUCACGCACAGAGGGUUGUGGACUUCGGGCUUCUUCAUGGCUGGUUGGGGAAAAGAGACUUUUUAACACACCUCGUGAUCAUCUUGAGCAGAGGAAAUCCCGAGAACUUCCUGAAGAAAAGUUACAUGUCUCAACAACUUAGUUGAAGAGCAGCUGCACCUGGGGCACGUAGUACCAUUGAAUAGCCCCUGGAGCACCCCAGUUUUUGUCAUUAAGAAACCAGGCAAAUACAAAUGGUGCCUGCUCCAAGACUUGCACAGACUAAAUGCUGUGAUAGAAGACAUGGGACCCUACAACCUGGCCUUCCCUCCCCCUCUAUGCUUCCAAGAGAUUGGCAGCUUGCAAUCAAGAACUGCUUCUUUAACAUCCUGCUGUUUCCCGGAGACGCUCCCAGGUUUGCUUUUUCUGUACCGUCUAUCAACCGCAAAGAGCCUUACAAACACUACCACUGGGUCACCUUGCCUCAGGGCUUGAAAAACAGCCCUGUGCUCUGCCAAACCUUUGUUGCCCAAGUACUGUCCCCAGUGAGGAAACUCUUCCUCGAGGCAAUUCUUUUACACUACGUGGACGAUAUACUUGUGUGCGCACCCACUGAAACAUAUUUAAGGACCGCACUCAAAAAGACAGUAGCAGCUGUGGAAAAAGCUGGGUUCCAAAUCAUAGCUAACAAGAUACAGCUCUCCAAUCCUUGGAAAUACCUAGGAUUCCAGAUUACAGGAAAGACUGCCCUACUAC